GUGUCAGCCGCCGCGGUAAUACGAAGGGGGCUAGCGUUGCUCGGAAUUACUGGGCGUAAAGGGCGCGUAGGCGGCGCUGCAAGUCAGGCGUGAAAUUCCUGGGCUUAACCUGGGGGCUGCGCUUGAGACUGUGGUGCUAGAGGUCAGAAGAGGGUCGUGGAAUUCCCAGUGUAGAGGUGAAAUUCGUAGAUAUUGGGAAGAACACCGGUGGCGAAGGCGGCGACCUGGUCUGAUACUGACGCUGAGGCGCGACAGCGUGGGGAGCAAACAGGAUUAGAUACCCCCGUAGUCC
rnacentral:rRNA from 1 species